AACGCACAUUGCGCCCCUUGGUAUUCCGGGGGGCAUGCCUGUUCGAGCGUCAUUAUCACCCCUCAAGCUCGGCUUGGUGUUGGGGCCUGCCCGUCACAGGGCAGCCCUUAAAAGCAGUGGCGGUGCCAUCUGGCUCUACGCGUAGUAAUACUCCUCGCGACAGAGUCCCGGUGGUGUCCUGCCAGAACCCCCCAUAUUUUUAAUGAUUGACCUCGGAUCAGGUAGGGAUACCCGCUGAACUUAA
rnacentral:misc_RNA from 1 species